rnacentral:rRNA from 1 species
AACACCCGGUCCCAUCCCGAACCCGGAAGUUAAGCCCUUCAGCGCCGAUGGUACUGCAUGGGAGACCGUGUGGGAGAGUAGGACACCGCCGGAC